GCUGGUCGCAGUGGUGUGUGUCUCUAGUCUCGAUGCUUUGGGAGGCCAAGGCAGGAGGAUUGCUUGAGCACAGGAAUUCUGGGUUAUCGUGAACUAUGUGAUCAGGCGCCUGCACUAACAUGCUGACAUUUUGGGAGCAGGGGACCACCAGGUUGCCUAAUGUGUCUGAGGAGGGGUUUCCAGGUUUGAAAUGGGGCAGCUCGACACUCCCUAGCUUAUCAGUCGUGAGACUGCUCCUGUGAGUAGCCACUGCAUUCUGGCCUGGGCAGCAUAGCGAGAUCCCACUUACC
ensembl:misc_RNA Metazoa_SRP Metazoan signal recognition particle RNA